GUCGAGCGAACAGACGAGGAGCUUGCUCCUCUGACGUUAGCGGCGGACGGGUGAGUAACACGUGGAUAACCUACCUAUAAGACUGGGAUAACUUCGGGAAACCGGAGCUAAUACCGGAUAAUAUAUUGAACCGCAUGGUUCAAUAGUGAAAGACGGUUUUGCUGUCACUUAUAGAUGGAUCCGCGCCGCAUUAGCUAGUUGGUAAGGUAACGGCUUACCAAGGCAACGAUGCGUAGCCGACCUGAGAGGGUGAUCGGCCACACUGGAACUGAGACACGGUCCAGACUCCUACGGGAGGCAGCAGUAGGGAAUCUUCCGCAAUGGGCGAAAGCCUGACGGAGCAACGCCGCGUGAGUGAUGAAGGUCUUCGGAUCGUAAAACUCUGUUAUUAGGGAAGAACAAAUGUGUAAGUAACUAUGCACGUCUUGACGGUACCUAAUCAGAAAGCCACGGCUAACUGCGUGCCAGCAGCCGCGGUAAUACGUAGGUGGCAAGCGUUAUCCGGAAUUAUUGGGCGUAAAGCGCGCGUAGGCGGUUUUUUAAGUCUGAUGUGAAAGCCCACGGCUCAACCGUGGAGGGUCAUUGGAAACUGGAAAACUUGAGUGCAGAAGAGGAAAGUGGAAUUCCAUGUGUAGCGGCGAAAUGCGCAGAGAUAUGGAGGAACACCAGUGGCGAAGGCGACUUUCUGGUCUGUAACUGACGCUGAUGUGCGAAAGCG
rnacentral:rRNA from 1 species